rnacentral:rRNA from 1 species
UACGGAGGGUGCAAACGUUGCUCGGAAUCAUUGGGCGUAAAGCGCACGUAGGUGGCUUGUUAAGUCGGGUGUGAAAUCCCUGGGCUCAACCCAGGAAGUGCACUCGAAACUGGCGAGCUUGAGUACUGAAGAGGGUCGCGGAAUUCCCGGUGUAGAGGUGAAAUUCGUAGAUAUCGGGAGGAACACCAGUGGCGAAGGCGGCGACCUGGGCAGACACUGACGCUGAGACGCGAAAGCGUGGGGAGCAAACAGG